GUGAACUCUAGCCCCAUAAACACACUGCCCCCACACACACACCAUACACAUUCACACACUGCCCCCAUACACACCAUACACAUUUACACACAUUGCCUCACACACACACAUACACUGCCCACCCAUAUACACACAGCCCCCCAUACUAACAUUGCCACACACGUACACAGCCCACACACCCUACACAUUCACACACUACACCCCCCACACACACUGAACCUUUC